rnacentral:rRNA from 1 species
UCUCCUGGAAACGGGUGGUAAUGCCGGAUGCUCCAGUUGAUCGCAUGGUCUUCUGGGAAAGCUUUCGCGGUAUGGGAUGGGGUCGCGUCCUAUCAGCUUGACGGCGGGGUAACGGCCCACCGUGGCUUCGACGGGUAGCCGGCCUGAGAGGGCGACCGGCCACAUUGGGACUGAGAUACGGCCCAGACUCCUACGGGAGGCAGCAGUGGGGAAUAUUGCACAAUGGGCGCAAGCCUGAUGCAGCGACGCCGCGUGAGGGAUGGAGGCCUUCGGGUUGUAAACCUCUUUUAUCGGGGAGCAAGCGUGAGUGAGUUUACCCGUUGAAUAAGCACCGGCUAACUACGUGCCAGCAGCCGCGGUAAUACGUAGGGUGCAAGCGUUAUCCGGAAUUAUUGGGCGUAAAGGGCUCGUAGGCGGUUCGUCGCGUCCGGUGUGAAAGUCCAUCGCUUAACGGUGGAUCCGCGCCGGGUACGGGCGGGCUUGAGUGCGGUAGGGGAGACUGGAAUUCCCGGUGUAACGGUGGAAUGUGUAGAUAUCGGGAAGAACACCACCCCC